rnacentral:misc_RNA from 1 species
UCCGAGUUGACCCCGGCAGUCUCCUGCGAGUCCCCGGCGUUAUCCGCUGGCAACACAGGACAAGGGUUGCGCUCGUUGCGGGACUUAACCCAACAUCUCACGACACGAGCUGACGACAGCCAUGCACCACCUGUGAAAGUGCCCCGAAGGGAGGCUGUGUUUCCACAGCUGUCACUCACAUGUCAAGCCCAGGUAAGGUUCUUCGCGUUGCGUCGAAUUAAGCCACAUGCUCCGCCGCUUGUGCGGGUCCCCGUCAAUUCCUUUGAGUUUUAAUCUUGCGACCGUACUCCCCAGGCGGGGCACUUAAUGCGUUAGCUGCGGCACCCAGGGGGUCAAUACCCCGGACACCUAGUGCCCAUCGUUUACAGCGUGGACUAC